CCUACGGGAGGCAGCAGUGAGGAAUAUUGGUCAAUGGACGAGAGUCUGAACCAGCCAAGUAGCGUGAAGGAUGAAUGCCCUAUGGGUUGUAAACUUCUUUUAUAAAGGAAUAAAACGUGGCACGUGUGCCUUUUUGCAUGUACGUUAUGAAUAAGGAUCGGCUAACUCCGUGCCAGCAGCCGCGGUAAUACGGAGGAUCCGAGCGUUAUCCGGAUUUGUUGGGUUUAAAGGGAGCGUAGGUGGGUUGUUAAGUCAGUUGUGAAAGUUUGCGGCUCAACCGUAAAAUGGCAAUUGAUACUGGCAGUCUUGAGUACAGUUGAGGUAGGCGGAAUUCGUGGUGUAGCGGUGAAAUGCUUAGAUAUCACGAAGAACCCCGAUUGCGAAGGCAGCUUACUAGCCUGUGACUGACAUUGAUGCUCGAAAGUGUGGGUAUCAAACAGGAUUAGAUACCCGGGUAGUC
rnacentral:rRNA from 1 species